GAUCGUAAAACUCUGUUAUUAGGGAAGAACAAACGUGUAAGUAACUGUGCACGUCUUGACGGUACCUAAUCAGAAAGCCACGGCUAACUACGUGCCAGCAGCCGCGGUAAU
rnacentral:rRNA from 1 species